rnacentral:tRNA from 7 species
GCCGGGAUAGCUCAGUUGGUAGAGCAGGGGACUGA